GAUGAAGAACGCAGCGAAAUGCGAUACGUAAUGUGAAUUGCAGAAUUCAGUGAAACAUCGAAUCUUUGAACGCAUAUUGCGCUCUCUGGUAUUCCGGAGAGCAUGCUUGUUUGAGUAUCAGUAAACACCUCAACUUCCAUAUCUUUUUUGAAAUGGGAGUUGGACUUGAGUGAUCCCAACGCUUUUCCUCACCGAAAAGUGGCGGGUUACUUGAAAUGCAGGUGCAGCUGGACUUUUCUCUGAGCUAUAAGCAUAUCUAUUUAGUCUGCCUAAAAAACAGAUUAUUACCUUUGCUGCAGCUAACAUAAAGGAGAUUAGUUCUUGUGCUGACUGAUGCAGGAUUCACAAAGACGGCUUCGGCCGACUUUGUAAACUCGAUCUCAAAUCAAGUAAGACUACCCGCUGAACUUAAGCAUAUCAAUAAGCGGAGGA
rnacentral:misc_RNA from 1 species